UCCUCCCUCUUUCUUCGUGCUUAACACAUGCAAGUCGAACGGAAAGGCCCUGCUUGCAGGGUACUCGAGUGGCGAACGGGUGAGUAACACGUGGGUGAUCUGCCCUGCACUUCGGGAUAAGCCUGGGAAACUGGGUCUAAUACCGGAUAGGAGCCAUUUUUAGUGUGAUGGUUGGAAAGUUUUUUCGGUGUAGGAUGAGCUCGCGGCCUAUCAGCUUGUUGGUGGGGUAAUGGCCUACCAAGGCGGCGACGGGUAGCCGGCCUGAGAGGGUGGACGGCCACAUUGGGACUGGGAUACGGCCCAGACUCCUACGGGAGGCAGCAGUGGGGAAUAUUGCACAAUGGGCGCAAGCCUGAUGCAGCGACGCCGCGGGGGGGAUGACGGCCUUCGGGUUGUAAACUCCUUUCGCUAGGGACGAAGCUUUUUGUGACGGUACCUAGAUAAGAAGCACCGGCUAACUACGUG
rnacentral:rRNA from 1 species